rnacentral:lncRNA from 1 species
AUGUACAACAUGUUUCCAGCAAAACACCCAGAAACAAUAGAUCACAAGUUGGCCAGGCAGAGAGGAAGAAGUAGGCCCCCAGGCUGGAUGCGGGGCUUUAUCCCAGGACCCCAGGAUCAUGACCUGAGCCAAAGGAUCCCGGAGCCGGAUGGUGAUGCUUAUCUCUGCUCCAGCAUCUGUCAAGCCUUCCUAAUUACUCCUGCAGGUGGCCAGAUGGAAUGGGCUCGUGCCCAGGACAGAAAUGUGACCUCAGUGACUAAUGCCCUUCCUUCCCCUGGUACAAAGGAGUCUUCUUUCUGCUCCCUUGCAGAUGUGCUCAACGAUUCUUCUUCUUCCGUGUAUGCUCAGAGAAGCUGAUGUAGGCAAGGGGGCUCUAACUCUGACAUCAGCUGGCCUGGGUUCGAGGACUGGCUCUGCCAUUUAUUUGCUGCCCAACUUUAAGCAAGUAUCUUCACUUCUCCAAACCCAAUUUUCUUCUUUUGUAAAGGUGUAAUUUCACAAAUGCACCAGCCUUAAGUGUACCGUUCCCCGAGUUCAGACAAACAUUUGCAAACAUUACAGAUGUUUAUACUCAUGUAUCCACCACCCGAGUCAAAGCAGAGAACAUUUCCAUUACCUGAGAAAUUCCCUCCUGCCCCUUUCAAGUCCAUUUCUGUAAACGAAAGCAUCCACUUCCCAAUUUCUGUUACCAUAGCUUAGUUCCACCUGUCUUAGAACUUCACAGAAACCAAACCCUGUGGAUCAGCUCUUCUGUGUCUGGCUUCUUUUGAUCAACAUAAUAGUUUUGAGAUUCAGCCAUGUUUUUGGAUCACAGUUUGGUCCUUUCUGUUGAAUGUGUCUCUUGUGUGAAUAUACUCUGAUUUGUUUAUCCACUCACCUAUUGAUGGGUGUUUUCUGUUUGGGUCUGUUAUGAAUAGAACUGUGAUUAACACUCUUGUUCAAAUCCUCUCUGUGUAUGUGUGUGUGUGCACGUGUAUUUUGAUUUUAAGUCCUCUUGGGUGUGUGUGUGUGUGUGUGUGUAAGCAUGUGUGUGUAGGCAUGUGUGUGUGUGCGCACAUGUAUUUGCUGAAUCAGUUCUCCAAGUGGUUGUGCCAUUUUACAUACCCACUAGCAACGUAUGAAGACUGCUGUCUCUCUCCUCACCAACACUUGGUAUCAUCAGUGGAGUGGCAUUCAUGGCAUUGCGUGGAGGUUUUAACUUGUAUGUUCCUGAUUACUAAUGAUGUAAUUAGUGACCAUUUAUGUAUCUCCUUUUACUAAGUUUCAAUUUAAGCCUUUUGCCCAUUUUAACAGUUUGUUAGUCUUAUUAUUAUUGGCUAUGGGUUCUUUAUAUUCUGGGCAUAAGUCCAUUGUCACAUAAAUGGCUUUAAAAAUACUUUCCUACCUAUCUCAACAAUUCAAUUUGAGGACUGUCACAAUGCUGUGACAGUCUAUAAACUUAAAUGAUAGCCUUCCUUAAUAAAAUUCACAAUUCUGCUAUUUGUAAAUAACAGUAAAAUGGGGGCUAAAAGCAUCCAAGGAUGACACAGCAUCCACAGACACAGAGGAGGGGAAGCCCUCGACUUCAUCCCACUGCCUUGGAAAGCCUCCAGUACUGCUGGUCUACCACCAGAUUCUCCAUAUUUUCCGUCUUCCCCAACCCUGCUUCCCCAUCAACUCACAUUAUGAUUAUCACUCCCUCGUCUUAGCUUAAAUACUGGAUCAAUUUUUUUGCUUUGAUCUGACUGCUUUCCUUUUUUCUGAAAUAAUGGGUUUGAGCUUCUUGCAAUCAAAGUUUAUAUUAUUUUCUCAUGUGACUUGCUGCUUAUCCUAAAUCCCUUCCUUAACCCACUUUCCUGCCUGUCCACCUGGUUUGCAUGGUCUUGCUUUUCUACCAAGAGUUGAAAGGUUCUUGUACUCUGGCCCGUUCAUGUGGCUUCAGGCCCUUGGAUCUGUUCUGGGUCCAACCCAUUCUUUAUUCUUUGCAUAUCUGGGCUUGCCCAUGAUGAACCAGACUUGGUGCCUCAUUUCUUACCCCAGAAAUAAUACUGCCAGAAUGUCUGUGGGGUAAGACGUUGAUUCUGUUUCCCCGGAUAAAAUAUUAGCAUGGCCUUAGGCAUCAAGGUCUUUAAUAACGGACUUCCUAUCAUGUUUCCCUAUCUAGCUUUUGUUGUUUUUCAAAUAAAUUUUCCAACAAGAAAAUCCAUUUCUAUUUUUCCCCAUUAAAAGUAUAAAAUAAUAAGCAAGGAUCACAAGAGUUGACCCCUCAUUGCUAUUUCCAUGGCAAAUUACUCCUAGCUAGAAGAAAGAAUCUGGGCUCAUGGGAUGUUUUUUUGUUUUGUUUUGUUUUGUUUUUCACACUCCUCUACAUUCAUUCAUUCAUUUGUUCACUCAGCAUUUACUGAUCACCAGCUAGCUGUGAGUUUCUGUGAUUGGGGCUGAAAAUAUAAGUAAGCCUCAGACAAAAACCCUUACUCUUAGAUGUUCACUGACUGGUGAGGAAAGCCAACAGAUAAAGGACCUUCCUUCUACAAAACAGGAAGGGUUAUAAGGCAAGUGCAUGGUGCUAUAGGAGUUUAGGGGGAAAAUGGAAUAUUCAUUCCAGAAGCCAUCAGGAUUGACAGUGAUGGUGAUCUUUUAUGGAAAAGGUUGUAUUUGAGCAGUGCACUAAAGGACAACUAGAAAUUAAACACAGAAGAUAGGGAACACUGUCAAUAGAAAUGUCUUUCACCAAACCCUUAAUCUCCAAGAUACCAGAAACAAGUUGGUUAUAAAAAUGAUACCUAGCUCAAAAAGAAUGUUUGAGAGAAACACACAUACA